rnacentral:rRNA from 1 species
CCUACGGGAGGCAGCAGUGGGGAAUAUUGCGCAAUGGGCGAAAGCCUGACGCAGCGACGCCGCGUGAGGGAUGAAGGUCUUCGGAUCGUAAACCUCUGUCAGCAGGGAAGAACGGUCACUGUGCUAAUCAGCAGUGAAUUGACGGUACCUGCAAAGGACGCACCGGCUAACUCCGUGCCAGCAGCCGCGGUAAUACGGAGGGUGCGAGUGUUAAUCGGAUUUACUGGGCGUAAAGCGCUCGUAGGCGGUAUGUCAAGUCUAGGGUGAAAUCCCCGCGCUCAACGUGGGAACUGCCUUUGAAACUGGCAAACGUGAGUGUGUGGGAGGAGAGUGGAAGUCCAGGUGUAGGAGUGAAAUCCGUAGAUAUCUGGAGGAACAUCAGUGGCGAAGGCGACUAUCUGGCACAUAACUGACGCUGAGGAGCGAAAGCGUGGGUAGCGAACAGGAUUAGAUACCCCGGUAGUC